AAGAAAUUCUGUUUUCUUGAAGAUAACUAAUUGACAUCCAUAAAUAAUAUAUAUAUAUAUAUUAAAACAAGAUUGACCAUGCAAGUCUUCGUCAAUUAAUUGUGAUCGUCUAAAUGAAAACCAGAUUGACCAUGCAAGUCUUCGUCAAAUAUUAAUUGUGAUCGUCUAAAUGAAAACCAGAUUGAUCAUGCAAGUCUUCGUGAAUUAAUUGUCUAUUUGGAGGCUGCAAUAUAGACACGAUAAUAUAAUCCCAACCUGAUAAGUAUCACUGGCUUGAAUGAAUGAGUUCAUGGAUUAGAUAGAAACAAGAGAUAGAGUAGGAUUGUUUUGUGUUUCAAGAAUAUUUUUGAAAAAAUUUAAAAGUUUUGUAUUUUUUUUAAAUUAAUAGUUUUUAGUAUUUUAAAAUUAUUUUGAUGUGUUAAUAUCAAAAAUAAUUUUCAAAAAAUAAAAAAUAUAAUUUUAAUACAUUUUAAAAUAAAAAAUACUUUAAAAAAUAAUUACUAUUAUAUUUUUAAUUAAUUAUAAGAGAUAGACUCGACGGGAUUGAAACUACAUGCAAAGUUCCUUGAAAAUUACAUCUAUUAGAAAAAUCAGCCCAUCUUUAAAGUUGAAAACAGGCUCCCCACCUAACAUUAAUGCAGCAAACUUUGCUGGCCGAACAUCGAUCUUGAUGUGUUUGCAUAAAUUUCCAUCGUUACCUUUUCAACAUUGUUGAAGCUAAGAACAUGAGAGCACAUGUAGGAAAAAAAACAAAAGCGUCUCGGUCCUAUUAUUAAUGGUUUGGCUUUAUUGUAGCUACCAAGCUUUAAAUUGUAGUGUUAAUUAUGAUAUUUUGCUUCAAUUGUAUCCCUAAACUGUGUCAUUUUAAAAAAAAAUUCCAUUGCUCAAGAGUUUUAGUAUAAUUUUUUAAAUCAUUUUUCUAUUUUAGUUUCUUUGUUCUUGAAGCAUCAAAGAACUGCCUUGGCCCAUCGGAAGUAAACGGUUCCUCCCAAUCUUUAGGCCCAUACAUGCACGGACCUUCCUAAAAAAACAUGGGAGCGUAAGGCCACAAAAGAAUUAUUUUGAUGACUUUCAAGAACAUCAGAAACCUUUUCACAAUGAUCGACAUUUUACCUACUUAAAUGGGCCAAGAGGUCCAAGCCCUAUUAUCCCCGUAAAAUUGCAUGCAUAGAUAUUAAACCUCGUCCAGCGAGUGACCCGGCAAUUUGAAACCUACAAAUAAUGCUUUGAAAUGCCUUUUAUGUUGAUAUGGGAGCUAGCGGCCUGUAAAAUUUGAUAAAAUCCGACCUUAAAAGUACAAACCCUUUAUUGAUUUGGGAAGAGAACGGAAUUCAAAGACAGCUUACGGUUAGAUACACUCCUCGACGAAAUAGCGUGGCCGAUAGAAAGAAUCACACAUUGGAAGCAAAUGGUAUUGAGCAGCAGCUCCUCUACCAAGUUAUAUCAUCAGUGGAUGGAAUGGAGGAUGCCAAGCUUGGAUCACUUGUCUCAGUCGUAUGAUAAGAAAGAGCUGCUGAGGACUACACCGCAGAAAUUCUUUGAAUUAAAGAAUAAGCCUUUCCCGGAAAACAUUUUCGGAAUGGAAGAGUUAUCCUUGAUUGACGAGCUUAGGAAAUGCCAUGUACCAGAACGAUAUUUUGGUGCACUUGGUGAUGCAUGGGAAGUCAACUCUUGGGAAGAUGUGGAGUUAGAAAUUGUAGUGGUAGUAGAAUAUUGAUGUUGCCAGAUAUCUUCCGUGAUAUAUUCAUGUCCAAUAUCAUAUGGAACAUCUACCUCAACAUCAGGCAGGGGAACUCUUUUGCCAGAAGGCAUUCAAGGAUGAGUUUGAUAGGCGGUGUCAAAAAGGCUUGGAGGAAUUGUCACUUGUCAUUAUUAGAAGAUGCGGGGCGUUGCCACUCGCAAUUGUGGCUAUCGGCGGACUUCUAGCUAGCAACGAAAGAACAGGUUGUUCCAUAAUAGAAAAGGUUACUUGAUAUAUAUAUAUAUAUAGUCUUGGCUGAACAAUUGGGAAAAUUGCUACCUUUAAGGUAUCUGAACUUAAGAAAUAACUUAGUGUCAAAACCUCCAGAAUCAUAACCUGGAGUCCUUGGAUCUGAGAUGUUCUUCAGUGGAAGAGUUUCUCGUUAAGAUUAAUAGGUUCCCGAAACUGCGACGUGUUCUGGGGCUUUCUAAAAAGAGAGUUGGGUUGAAGAUACAUUCCGCAUUGGGCAUUUAGACUUCAUACGAACAAUGCUUGUAGUAGGGCUGAGCAUUUCCGGUUUGGUCCGGUUUUGAACCAAAAUAAACAACCAAACUGAUUUUUUUAAAAAAAAAUUUGAACCGAACCGAACCGAACCGAAAACGGCCAGUUCAAACCGAUUAAUUUCGGUUCGGUUUGGUUCGGUUUUUUUCUCUUCCAAACCGGUUCAAACCGAAAUUAUUCCAACUUGUUCACAGUCCCAAAAAAUCCCUAAUCCCUGCGUCGAAGAAGGCAACUAAAAAUCUUUCUUGUUUGGGCAUUUUGAUGCUCUGAGCCCUGACCGUCCACAAUUAAAACAAAAGCUUCCAAAUCCAAAGCUUCUGCUACGCAUAAUAAAGAAAAGAUGUCAUGUUUGUUUGCUGAAACCUGUAUGAACAAAUUGUCCAAACCAGCAGCCACACAAGCCAGCAAAAGAUAACAGGGAAAAAAAAAAGGGGGAAUGAAAGGAAAAAAAAUCCACAACUUGGCACUUACCCAUAUCAUGCAUGUACCCCAUAAAGCCUGUAACUUUAGGUUUACAAAGAGUAAAGGGAGGGGAGAAAAAUCAAAGCAAAAGAGAGUAAAGGAAAGGGAGAGGGAUAUGCAGAGAAAGGGAAGGGAUAUGUAAAGAAGGGGGGGCUAAAAGAGAUAUGCAGAGAAAGGGAGCUAAAGGGAGGGAGGGAUAUGCAGAGAAGGGGGAUAUGCAGAGAAGGGGAAGGGAGGGCUAAAGGGAGGGAAAGGGCGGCUGAUGGCUAAAGUGAUUUUAGGGUUAAAAAAUGUUGUAUUUAUACUUACUUUUUUUUUAAGUGUUGGCUGGUUGAACCGGUUCGGUUAGGUUCGGUUCAAUCGGUUUUAGACUUUAGAAACCGAAACCGAACCGAACCGGAAUUUUUUUGUGAUUUUUUAAUCGGUUAAUUCGGUUUUUUUUUUCGGUUCGGUUUUUUCGGUUAUUUUUUUUCUGGUUUUCUCGGUUUAAUCGGUUUAUCGGUUUUUUUGCUCACCCCUAGCUUGUAGAAGUUUGAGGAGUUGCGAGAUUAAUUACUGAGCUAAGAAUGUUGAAGCAAUUGAGAAGAAUAUUGGGGACAUUAAUGUAUCAUGGAAAAGAGAAUAUGGAAGGGUUCUAUGCACUGCAUUGGAGGAUAUAGCUCUCAGCCAGCUACGGGGAUGAAAUUCUUGAAGUGGAAUCGAUCUCUUCUCCUCAAAAUCUCAAACUUUGGGGGCCAUUAGAAAGGUUGUUAGAUUGGAUUUCCUGACAGUCUACGUACGAAAAUGGUCGGCCAUGACCGUGGCUCCAAGAAUUCUACCGGCUAUCCAGAAAGUUUCUUGAUUCCUUUAAUUAGUAAUCAUUACUCUGUACAUCAAUAUUGUAUAUGUUUGGUUGUUUUGUGACUAUGCUUGUGGAACUUGUUUUCAUUGUUAAUCUUGUUGAUAUUGGUUGUGUUUUGUUUCUUCCUUCACUGGAAUCUCCUUGUAAUAAUUGCUUAACAAUAAACUUUUAUGAAAAUGGUGAAGGAAUUAAAAGAAUAAAGAUUAAAUUUGAAAAAUUAAAAAAUAUAAUAGGAGUGUGAAAUUGAAAAGAUAUCAAUUUGAUAGAUCAUUCAAGAUAAAAAAAAUUCAUAAUAAAAAGAAAAUGGAUUAAAUCUGAAGAAGCAACAAAUUAAAGGGUUGUUUUUAAAUUUUGUAGGGGUUGGCGUGAAAAUUUAGGUGAGAAGAGAGAUAAGAAGGGGGGAAAUAGUUACCGACUCCAAACCGCCAUAAAUGGUGACACAUAUGCCACCUCGUGGGGCUAGGAACACCGAGACUUUUCAAUUGUUGUCCUGGAACGUGAUGUUUGGUUAUUGGAUGGCUCCUCACACAUCGCUAGAAAGGUGCAGCGAUCGUCCACAUGCUAGCGCGUGCGGAGGUUUAUUUUUAUUACAGUACCCCUUGUUACCCUUGAAAUUUACAAUAAAAACAUAGCAAAAUGACAUCGCUAGAAAGGUGCAGCGAUCGUCCACAUGGUUUUUUUUUACUUUUUAAUUAAUUUUUUUCGUUUACUUUAGUUUGUUAAUGUUAAAUUUUUUUCUAUUUAGUUAUUAGACUUUCAUGACGGUUUUUUUGUUUUUUUUUUCGUUUUUUUUUACACUUUUAGGGUUUUUUUUUCUUUUAAUAAUUUUUUUUUGUUAAUGUUAAAUUUUUUUUAUUUAGUUAUCAGACUUUCAUGACACGGAUCCCGGGUUUAAUAGGUUAAUAUGGUUUGACGAGUUAACCUAGAAUUGUUUUUUGUUUUUUUUUUGUUUUUAAUUAAUUUUUUUCGUUUACUUUAGUUUGUUAAUGUUAAUUUCUUUCUAUUUAGAAAAGGAUGAGUUGUUUUGUUUUUCAUUUUUUUUUUACACUUUUAGGGUUUUUUUUUUUGCUUUUUUUUUGUUUUAAUAAUUUUUUUAUUUUGUUAAUGAUAAAUUUUUUUUAUUCAGUUAUCAGACUUUCAUGACACGGAUCCCGAGUUUAACAGGUUAACAUGGUUUGACGAGUUAACCCAGAAAUUUUUUUUUUGCUUUUUUUUUCUUUUUAAUUAAUUUUUUUCGUUUGCUUUUGUUUGUUAAUAUUAAAUUUCUUUCUAUUUAGUUAUUAGACUUUCAUGACACAUAUUUCAGGUUUCACGGGUUAACCUGGUUUCACGGGCCAUCAAUUUUUUUUUGUUUUUUUCUUUUAAGAAUUUUUUUUAUUUAAUUUAGUUUGUUAAUGUUAAUAUUUUUAUUUAGUUAUCAAACUUUCAUGACACGGAUCCCGGGUUUAACGGGUUAACCUGGUUUGGCGAGUUAACCCAAAAUUGUUUUUCUUUUUAAUUAAUUUUUUUCGUUUAGUUUAGUUUGUUAAUUGACAAUAAACUAAAACUGCUCAGUGUUUCACUGUGCAUGUCCACAGUGAAACGUUGAGCUGUCUUUUUUUUUAUUUUUAUUUUUCGUUUUCUAGCCUUUAUGGGUUUUUUUUUUUGCUUUUUUCUUUGUGUUUUUUUCUUUUAAUGAAUUUUUUUUGUUUAAUUUUUUUUGUUAAUGUUAAUUUUUUUAUUUAGUUAUCAGAUUUUCAUGACACGGAUCCCGGGUUUGACAAGUUAACCUGAAAUUUUUUUUUUGCUUUUUUUCAUUUUAAUUAAUUGUAACAUAUACUAAAAGGGAUUAGUGUUUUAUUGUGGACUGCACAGUGUAGCCCACGGUAAAACACUGAUGCUUUAGGUUUUUUUUUUAAGUUUGUCUCAUUUUUUUUAGCUUUUGUUUAUGCCUUUCGGGAUUAUUUUUUUGCUUCUUUCUUUGUUUUUUUCUUUUAACAAAAUUUUUUGUUUAAUUUAAUUUAGUUUAUUAAUAUUUAAUUUUUUUUAUUUAGUUAUCAGACUUUCAUGACACGUUUUCCGGAUUUAACAGGUUAACCUGGUUUCACAGGUGAACCCAGUUAAUUAUGGGUUGACCGUCAAUUUUUUUUGUUUUUUUUUUAUUUUCAUAAAUUGUUUUUGUUUAAUUUAGUUUGUUAAUGUUAAAUUUUUUUUUAUUUAGUUAUCAGACUUUCAUGACACAGAUCCUGGGUUUAACGGGUUAACAUGGUUUGACGAGUUAACCCGGAUUUUUUUCCUUUUUAAUUAAUUUUUUUUGUUUGGUUCAGUUUGUUAAUUUUCACUUUUUUUUAUUUAGUUACCAGACAUUCAUGACACGAAUCCCGGGUUUAACGGGUUAAUCUAAUUUGACGAGUUAACCUGUAAUUUGUUUUUGCUUUUUUUUCUUUUUAAUUUUUUUUUCGUUUAGUUUAGUUUGUUAAUGUUAAAUUUCUUUCUAUUUAGUUUUUUUUUCUUCUUAGAGGUUUUUUUUCUUUUAUUUUUUAUUUUUAAUUAAUUUUAUUUAUUUAAUUUAGUUUAUUAAUAUUAAAUUUUUUUCUAAGUAGUUCUCGACUGAUGCCUAUAGUUUUUCUUUUUGUUUUUUUGUUGUUUUAUGCCUUUGACUGUGGACUGCACAGUGCAGUCCACAGUGAAAAGGAUGAUGCCUUUUGUUUUUUUUCUUUUUAAUUAAUUUUUUUUUUAAUUUAAAUUGUUAAUGUUAAAUUUUUUUCUAUUUAGUUAUCAAACUUUCAUGACACGGAUUCCGGAUUUGACAGGCUAACUUGGUUUGACAAGUUAGCCCAGUUAAUUCUGGGUUAACCCAUUAAUUUAUUUUUUUCUUUUUAAUUAUCAAACUUUCACGAUGCGAAUUCAAGGUAUGACGGGUUAACCUGAUUUGAAAGGUUAACCCAGUUAAUUCAUAUUUUUUUUCUUUUUCUUCAUUAGUUUUUUUCUUCCUGUUGGUUUUUUUUCUUUGUUUUUUUUCUUUUUAACUAAUCUAUUUAAUUAUCACACUUUUAUGACAUGACCUUGCAGCCAGACCCACGUCCAAUGCUAUUGGGUCUGGUAUUGCAGUCCAGACACUUUUAUGCUAAGGAUUAACCCAAGUUUAAUGUUAUUAUUAAUAUUAUAAAUAUUACUUUUGGGUCAAGCGUUUCAACCAAACUUAAAACUUUUGGGUAUAACUUUGUAAAAAAACCUAACACUUUUAGAUCUUGACUUUUUUUAAAAUGCAAAAAAUAAUUGACCCGCAGCAUCGCGCGGGGCAUUUAACUAGUAGUUAACUAAAUCUUGGAACACAGGAAAAUCACCGUAAGCUUUAGUUGGCGACAUAACAAGUGGGGCAUGCAAUUGCAAAAAGAAAAAUAAAAAUGGAAGGGAUGGGAAGGGAAGGGAUGGAGGAAGGAGAGGUGACGUAUAAAAUUAUAAAUAUCUCUAUGCAAUAUUCUAUGAAUUAAGAAGUUUUCAAAAAACAUAAAAAAAAAUUGAAGAAACUGAAUCGAGAUUGAUAAAUUAAGAAAAAGGAUACGUUGAUAGGUUAAGGUUGUUGCGUGCUUAAUUAAGAUCAAUUCAUUUAUUUGUUGACAAACACAAGGAUGAUCUCAUGCUUCAUCAAUGCUUAAUUAAUUGUGCUGUGCUGACUAUUUUUGUACCCCCCAAGGGUUCUAAAAAUCAAUUGGGUUCGCCCACAUUAGGAUGAUGAUGAUGCAAUUCCAACCACCCACAAAAUAAUCUGAAUACUAAAUAAGAUAAAUUGUAAAAAAAAAAACUUUAAAGUUAUUAAGCCUGAUUUCGGAUCAGUUGAUUGAAACUUUGACUCGACAGGUCUACACAUGAUCAAAAUUUAAGUUGGCUUUUUAUUUUAAAAAAUUAAAAUAAUAUAUUGUUCUGAUUGACUCGAGAUAAUUUGCUCAAUUCAUGAUCUAAAUCUUAGGCCAGGAUAUGAACUAGAUCGAGUUUAAUAACUUUAAAUACUACAUGAUCUAUUUAAAACUUAAUUAACCUAAAUCUUGACAUAAAAAUACAUCUUUACUAUUAGAAAUAAAAAUAGAAAAGAGAGGAUAUUUCACGAUGAAAAUAGUAAUUAGGGGCCACUCAGAGUGGGAUAACAAAACCGGUCCGCUUGAGAUGUUCUUGAGGAAUUAUGGAAGAGAUGUAAAGCAAGAUUAAGGCAUGAUUUAGGUGAAGAUCGAUUUGCUAAUCGGUCUAUUUCUUGCUCCCAGGUGUCCCAAAGGCUGCCCUACGCCAACCACCUUUCCAACUUUGACAUGCAAGUUGAUGACAGACUGAUAGGUGUCAAUGAACCAAUUGUCUUCUUCCUCAAUGUUUUCUUAAUGCAAUGUCGUUCUCAGACACAUAUGAAGGUAACUGUUAGCAAUGAACAGAAGAAAAACCAUGCGGAGAAAAUUACAAGGACAAAACUGAAGACGAGACAGGUUAAAAAGAGGUGAAAGAGCACAUAUGUUAUUAAUUUCUCGAGGGAAAAAUGCGUAACUGUUAUGAAGAUCUUAAAGACUUUGAGCUUCUUCUCGAUGAAAGAAAUUCAUGAACAAAACUAUAAGAAAUAUAUACCCUACCAUUCAAGCACUUGGUCUUUUUUUAUUACUAAAUUUAGGCACGACUCAGAGGGACAUUUUUUUUAUGUAAUUCUCUUUUCUUACAGAACAGUAUGCUUUGUACCAUGUCGCCUUGAAAUAAUUAGCCUACAAAAUAAACAAACAAUAAAUUGAUAUUAAUUUGGUCAUGCCAUCUUGAAAAUCUGCUACGAACGAACUUCCAGCCCAGACUAGCCAUCUUCCUAGUUGCAUUCUCCUCCUGUAAUUAUAGAUGUCGAUCGAACCUGGCCGAGAUCCGAUGCUCGGGUUGCUCGGAUUACUAUAUAAUUCCAAAUUAAUCUUGAUAUAAUGUAGUUUUUAAUAAAAAAUAAAAUAAAACAAGGUAUAGAAAAAAAACAUAUCAUUGGAAUUGAUUUGAGCGGAUUGCAACCUACAUUUUACCAUAUACAAAACAAUUCAAAACAAACUCAACCCAAGUUAGAUUCUAAAUCACAAAUAAUCCAUUAAAUUAGACGGAAUUUAAUAACUUUGCUAACAAUCCAUAAACAUGUACCUGUCAGAAAAUUACAACUAAUUAUAUAUUUAGUAAUGCACUUUCAUAUUUUUAUUUGAUUGACUAAACAUGACAUUAUAAAUUUUCAUGACUUAUCUCGGAAAUUUUAUUUGAAUUUUGGGUUACACUUUUUAUAAUCCACACUAGUAUAUCGGGUUACACGUCAAGUCAAUGUUAUUUUUUGUUAAAAUAUAAAAAAAUAUUAAGAGUAUAGAAAAUAUUUUAAAUCCUUUGAGUUUAGUGACAAUGUCAAACCUAAGAGUCUUGGGUUUGACGACCAUGUCAGACCCUAGAAUGGCUGACUGAAAAGCUAGCCUUGAUCACCGGGAGACGUCUCAUGCGUCUCCUUAAUGAUAUGGAUGCCACAUACUUGUUGGGAGUGUAGAAUAUGUAUCAACAGCUUUUUAAAUAAGAACCAUAAAAAACAAUAUGGCAAUACUAAAACGUCCCUCAUGAUCCUUUUAAUUACACAUCAUACCCAAGUAAAUUUUAUUGUUGCGAUUCAUAGUAAUCUGUAUCUAGAGCUAUAGUGAAAACUCUAUGUUAUUUAGCUUUAUCUAUAAUUUCUCAUAUGUUUUAAAAUGAAAAAGGUUAGAGAUGUAUUCCUAUGUAGUAUGAUUCAAAUUCAACAAGAUUAACUAAAUUAGGGAUAUAAAUUUAAUUUGGAUGCAUAAAAUCAAGUUCAAUAUGGUAUUGUUGCCUAUUACCUAAUACAAGAAAGAAAAAAGAGAAAUAUCCUACAAAAUGAAAUUAGGUCCUCCUUUCACCCAUAAGACCACUUCAAAUGAUUUUGUCAAUCAAGUUACCAAUCAAUGCUAAUUAAGAUGAUCCAAUUAGUCCACACCUAAUCCAUGUGGUGUAAAAAAAACAAGAAAUUUUGGACACAUGACCUUAUGGAUGUUGCUUGUCAAAUAAAUUUAGAAUAUAUGUAUCUAACAAACACACACCUGUUAUUCAAACACAACCCAAAUUCAACACCCACAAAUUUUGGUAGCUCCUAUGGCUCUAUUCAACAAACAAACGAAGAGAAUGAUGAUUCAAAUCAAAACCUCUACAGUACUAGCCAGUAGCCACUCAUGUUUCCCAUCGAGUAUCCGACCACCAUAUUGGAGGGGGAGAUGCACAUUCACACCCCAUUAAUUUGAGUCCAACCCCACAGACAGCCAUAAACAAAUACAUAUCUUCAAAUCACUGCCUAAGUGUAGGGUUGUGAUCAUUUUGAAUGUCAUUACAUAGAUUACUUGUAAUACUGGGAUUUCUAAUGGAUUCAUGUUUGGUCUGUCCCACAAAUAGAUACCUUUCUUGUCCACCUCUCAAAGCCUCCAAUCAAAAUGGGAAAUUUAGAGUGUAAGUUGCAAUAUUUUAAUUUUAGGAAGAAACAAACGAAUCCAAGAUUCCACCCUUCUUUUUUUUUCAAUUUCCAAUGAAUGCUCCCACAACAAUUUGCUUUCUCCUCCAACCCUACUUUACAAUAAAAUGUUUUAGUACUAGAGAUGUUUGCUAUUUAAUAUUGGAAAUGCUUUAGCGAUGAUAUAUUCAUUUGCUUUUCACCAAUUGUGUUUCCAACCUAUUAUUAAUUAUUAAUUAUUAUUAUUAUCUGGUUGAGAGAGGACAAUAACUUUUGUUUUUAUGUAUUUUUUAAAAAUAUGUUUACUUUGAAAAGUAUUUUUCUUAAAGAACAACAGUAGCUUAAAUUACUCUGUGAAUUCAUGAAUCAACCCUAUCGACCUGUAGCUAAGACCUAAGAACUUGGACUCGAGUUGAGUCUUUUAACUAUGGUUUCUAAGGCUAGACGCAUAGAAGUUUGAUGAUCAAGAUGUGAUGAGAUCAUGGAAUUUGAUGCUUACACAUCAGAAAACCACGAUGUUGAUGAAAGCUUCCCAUGCAUACUUUUCUUUUUUCCCUUCAUCACUGCUGCUGAUUUGUAUUCCACACCUUUGCAGAUAUUAUCCAUACUCUUCAAACUCUCCACGAUUACAAACAUUACUUCAAUGGGUUAAUGAAAUCCUACGCAUCUUUCCAUUUCAAAAUAAGAAAUUUAAUAUAAAUGAUGUUACUUUAAAUAGUUCAUUUUUAUGCAAUACUCGCUGUGUGUCAAUGAGUUCAUAUAUAUAUAUAUUAUCAUUUUCUCUUAAAAGGAGACGUGACCUUUGAAUAGAAUAUGAGACAUGUAUCCAAGGAUCCGUUCAAAUACUAAACGGGGGCUAAGAUUUGAAGGAGAUGAAUAUGAUCUUAAUAUGCUAUGAAUCAAAUUCUUCUAUGUAGACGAGCCAUCCAAGGAAAAUGGCAAAUGAAUCUUUAAGCACUUGACAGACACACAAAGAAUAAAUGAUAUUCCUGACUUGGAAGCUUAAAAAAUGUCAAACAAAUUCCUUUCCUCCUCAACCGCACAAGUAAACCUCCAUACACACACAAGCACAUGAAAUAAAUAAUUUAUUGAAGGAAGAAGGAUGUCGUCUGUCUUUAAUCUUAUAUCUUAAUGGAAGAAAAACAAACCAAACGAUAAUAGCCUUUACAUUAAAUAACACAAGCUCUCUCCCUUCCUUCCUUCCUUCCUUGCUUGCUUGCCCGCCCUUGAAGUGCAGUGUAAGCCAACAAAAACAUCACCCCUCUUAAUUUGUCUCUCUCUCUCUCUCCCCCUGCUUAGCAAAAGAAGAAAAAAAAAAAAUUAAAACUUCACCAUCAAUGGCGUAAAGCAACACCAAUCAAAACCCUUGCGUGUCCGAAAUCAUUGAAAAGCAACUAAACCAAGAACCAAGAACACCACCCCAAUUUCUAACUUUCUUUAUAUGUUUUCUUUAAUGAAGAUAUGAUCACCUCAUAUCAAGUGCAAGGUGAAAGUAGAGUGUAGUAUAAAGGAUUUGAACAGGAAAGAUAGGUUUCUGACUGUGACUGUGACUGUGACUGUUAUCAUUGUUCGUGUCCUUUUUCUUUUGCUUUUUUAUGGUUAUGUUUACGAGGAGUGGUCAAGAUAAUUGUAGUUCUAGUAAAGAAAAAGAAGAUUUUUGUAGAAGUAGUAAUCCUGGGAAAGGCAGGGGAAUAUUUUCUUGAUGGGAGGAUAUUUGAUUGUAUCCAUGAAAUUACAGUGGCUCUUGCUUUUGCUAGGAUGACAGAUUCUUCUGCUUAUAGAGUUGAAACCACUUCUCGUCUUGCUCAAUGGAAGAUAGACAAUCUUGCUUCUUGUACUUAUCGGAAAUCAGAUCCUUUCAAGAUUGGCAAGUGGAAUUGGUUAGUACUUUCUUGUUUUCCUUUUCUGCAUCCAUGGGUUGAUUCCCUACAGUAGAUUGUUUAGUUUCUUGUUCUGUUUCAAGAAGAUAGAAUUUGCCCUAGAGUCUUGUGUGAUUGUUGUUCUCUUGAUUUUCGUAAAGCUGGUUUCUUUCACUGGAAAUUUAGGAUCUUUUUGGCAGUUCUUUUGCUGUUGCUGUUGUUUUUCUCUGUAAGUGGGAAUUUAUGAUCUGAGUGUCCUAGAAAUGGGUAAUUUUGAAGUGGGAUUUUGGGGUUUUUCAAUCCAUGUGGAAUGGUGAGACUUUAGCUUUGGAUAGGAUAGAGACCAGGAGUAUGGUCAAUGGCAGAGACAGGGUAGGCACAUGUUUCAGUACAUUGAUGAUCCUUUGUUUGGUUGCCUAUAAAUUUUGCUGGUAAGAAAGAGAAAGUAAGAUAGCUAUGAUUUAUUAGUGCACUGUGAAUUUCUUUUUUGGCCAUUAUUUUCUGUGAUCUUGCUAUAUCAGCUGAGUUUAACAAUCUUUUUGGAUUGAAGGCAUCUAUCUGUGGAGAAGAACCGGGUAUUAUUUGUUAAGUUGUAUCCAGAGAUAUCGAAUCUAACGCGGGAAAAUCCUCCAAUUGCUUCAUUUAUUAUUCGAGUUGUUUCUUCUGCUGGAGAUCGCAAGGCUUUGACUCAUCCAGGUAAUAAAUUCAAACUCUAUCUUCAGUUUUUAGAUACUUUUCUGUUUAUAACUUGUUUUUCUCCAAUAAAGAUGGAACACGUGCAGUUAACCAUCUUGAAUUUCAUACUUCUGACCCUUGAUUUGAAUUCUAAGUUGUGAUCUACAAACCAUUACAAAGUUCAUGAGCUGCGGAGUGAAUGACGUAGAUGAUCUAUACCCUCGAUCGAAUGUUCUAAGUUGUGAUCUACCUACCAAUACAUUAUUUAUGAAUUGGUGAAAUGGAUAAGCAAAUGAAAAAUAUGAUCGUAACUGUGAUAAACCAUAACUUGAAUCUGCAAAUGAUAUGGUAAUUAGUGCACUGGGAGCAUACUAUCCUAUGCAUAUGUAUGUUUUGCCGCUGAGGAUAAGGCAGUUUCUUGUGUGUUUUGGUAUUUUCUGACAAAAUGCUCAACUUCAUGUUACUUUCUCAGUUUUAUUUUAAAUGUAUUCCUGCAGAGGUAACAGAUAAGCAGCUCAAGAACAACGAGGAUUUCGUCUGGGCAAUUGAUGUUCCUUUAACAACAGGGAAAUUCAUUAUCGACGUUGAAUUCCUUGAUUUGAAGGCAGCAUCUCCAGGGGUAUGUUUCUAUAUUGGCUGGCCUAUCAAUAGAAAGAAAAAUUAUAUCCUUGAAAACACAAGAGAUGGCAAUGCACCUGUUAUUUGAAUUCUCUAUACUGUAACCAAUGAGAGUACCACUCCCAUUCUACCAAACAGAUAGAGUAUUGCUACUAUACCUUUAUUUUAAAAGCUGCUAUAUGUCAUUAAAUAUACAGGGUGGAGAACCUUGCUCGAUCUGGGACGAAGAAACCACAGAAAAGCGAGCAAAUGCAACAGCUCUUGUGUCACUUGGUAGAAUGUUAACAGAAAGCAUCCACACGGAUAUCAAAAUUAUUGUUUCUGAUGGAAGCAUUGGAGCCCACCGUGCUGUUCUUGCUGCAAGAUCGCCUGUUUUCCACAGCAUGUUUGCUCAUGACCUGAAAGAAAAGGAACUGUCAACCAUAAAUAUCUCCGACAUGUCAAUUGAAGCUUGUCAGGCUUUUCUCAAUUACAUAUAUGGGAACAUCCAGAGUGAAGAAUUUCUUGUCCACCGUUUGGCACUUCUCAGUGCAGCUGAUAAGUAUGAUAUUGCUGACCUGAAAGAGGCAUGUCAUGACAGUCUUCUGGAAGAUAUAGACACAAAGAAUGUACUUGAGAGGCUACAAAGCGCAUCCUUGUAUCAAUUGCCGAAACUGAAGACCAGCUGCCUGCGGUAUCUUGUGAAGUUCGGUAAGAUAUUUGAUAUUCGAGAUGAUUUCAAUUCCUUCUUGCAAUGUGCAGACAGGGAUCUGAUAGCUGAAGUCUUUCAUGAAGUUCUCAAUUCCUGGAAAGGAUUCUGAAGACGAUAGUGUGGUUAAGUCAGUUGUAUUUUACAAAAUGGGUGUUUAGAAAAUUUAGUGUGCACAAUUUGUUGCCAUCAAGAUUAUUCUUUGUUCAGAAUGAAUUUGUUGAUGCCUUCAUGUACACAUAUAUUGGAUUGCGUGACAUAGAUCUUCUAUCCCUGUUAUGGAGGAUCAUGUAUUCAUGAACACUAUGAUUUGAAUGAAAUGUAAAUACUUUGAUAAUAUGAUUCAAAUUUCAAAAUAACUUUUUUUAGUUUUUCUUCUAAAUUAGAUGGCACAGAUAUGCGUGAAAGUCAUGUGAGAAUGAUCUAAUCUGAUUUUCCCCGGGUAUCAAAACUAGCUGCCUUUUCGAAUUGUCAGGACAUGAAUAUUGAGUCAAAUCUGGUUUAUCAUGAAUAUAAUCAUGCAAAUGCUCAUAAAUUCAAGAGUUGAACCCAGAUCAGCUAUAAAGCUCACAAGAGCAUCAUCAGGCAUGAUUUCACCAAAAAUCUUCCCUUAAUUUGCAGCCAUGAUUUCACCCCAUUGUUGACUCCUUUCCAGCCUCUCUUCAAGCCGUGUUUCCAUCUCAUUGUAGCUAGAAUUUGUGCGAGUUUGUCUCCAAACUCAACUCAAGGAAGCAAACUUAUCGAUCAAAUUAUGCACAUAGCAGCAUCAAUUAUGGAAACAGGCAGGAGCAACACCAUUAGGUCCUCAACGUAAACAGAUUCUGCUACUUGGCCUUUGUUUCCAAUUAGAAUUCAGAAAACACACCAUAAUUUCACACACAAACCAUGGUUCUAUGCAUUAAUCUAGUCAAUUCAUUGUUGGAAUGAACAUUUAACACAAGAACACAUCAUGACAUUGAUAGAAGAUCUUCUCAUGGUCAGAAUCCCAAGUCUAAAAUAAGAUGUAAUAUAAACACAACAAGGUAACAUCAAAAUGAAAGGCAAUAUGUUUAUUGUUCAAGUAGCACAACAACAAAUGAUUAUGCAACAAGAAAAGCAAUAUUUUUUUUGUGAAUAUUCGAGGAAUUUCAAUAGCAAAAAAGCAUAGCUAAAAAACUAAAAACAUCUUUUCAUAAACAAGGAAACUGAAUAGCAUGACCAAAACAAUAACAAAAAACACAAGCAAAAGGGUAUGUUAUAUAUCCUCUAGGGCAAUGAACUCACCUCUUAGAAAAUCUUUUGAGGACCACUUCAUAUUGAUUUUGAAACCAAAAUCUAGUGUUCUUUAAAUUGCCAGAGACCAAUCAUGGCAAGGAAUUCUUGUAGGAGUUGGUAAAUAA
rnacentral:lncRNA from 1 species